UGGGGAAUAUUGCACAAUGGGCGAAAGCCUGAUGCAGCGACGCCGCGUGAGGGAUGACGGCCUCCGGUUUGUAAACUUUUUUCAGCAGGGACGAAGCGCAAGUGACGGUACCUGCAGAAGAAGCACCGCCUAACUACGUGCCAGCAGCCGCGGUAAUACGUAGGGUGCAAGCGUUGUCUGGAAUUACUGGGCGUAAAGAGUUCGUAGGCGGUUUGUCGCGUCGUUUGUCAAAACCAGCAGCUCAACUGCUGGCUUGCAGGCGAUACGGGCAGACUUGAGUACUGCAGGGGAGACUGGAAUUCCUGGUGUAGCGGUGAAAUGCGCAGAUAUCAGGAGGAACACCGGUGUCGAAGGCGGGUCUCUGGGCAGUAACUGACGCUGAGGAACGAAAGCGUGGGUAGCGAACAGG
rnacentral:rRNA from 1 species